CUGCCUCGGCCUCCCAAAGUGCUAGGAUUGCAGGCAUUAGCCACCAUGCCUGGCCAAAAAAAUUUUUUAAUGAAAAAAAAAAUGCUCAUUCACACUUAGAAAAAGGCCAACAUUUAUUGAACACUUAACUAUUGCCAGGUGCUGUUUCAAGUGCUUAACAUAUAUUAACUUAAUUCUCAAAACAGCCGCAUGUAAUCGGUACUAUCAUUACCCCCAUUUUACAGGUAAAGAAGCAUGUACAAAGAGGUUAAGUUCUUGUCCAAGGUUGCUAGCUGUUGGCAGAGCUAGAAUUUGGUCCCUAGCAGACUGAUUUGCCUUUUUAAAGACAAUAAAUGUUACCUUUUGGGCAUACACAAAAAAUAAAAAGAACAAAGAAGUAAAAAUGCUAUCCUGUUCACUGGCUGGACAUAGAAUAAUUUCAGUUAAGAGUAGUGUGGCACCAGGCUGAUGGCUCAUACCUGUAAUCCCAGCACUUCAGGAGGCCAAGAUGGGAGGAUCACUUGAGCCCAGGAGUUCAAGACCAGCCCUGUCAACAUAGCAAUACCCCAUCUCUUCAAAACAUAAAAUAACCGGGCAUGGUGGCAUGCAAGGAGGCUGAAGCAGAAGGAUUGCUUGAGCCUGAGAGGUUGAGGCUGCAGUGAGCGAUGGUUGUGCCACUGCACUCCAGCUUGGCUGACAAAGACCCUGUUACACACACACACACACAAAAAAAAGAAAAGAAAAGAAAGAAAGAAAGGAAAGGAAAAGGAAAAGAAAAAGAGUAUUGUGGAUCUAUCAUCGCAUUCCCUUUUGCCAGACUUAUUUUCUGUGAAGAGAAUGUCUCCAGAAGUGUCUUUGGGGAUUCAAAUAAGUCUGGGAAUUGGGGGCUCUUCGAGUUUGAAAAUUUAUUGACUGCUAUAAGUUUCAGAGAAAAAAAAGUAACUCAACCACAUGGCUGAAUUUCCACAGUUGGUUGGAGGCACAGCCUUUGCUGUUCCUCUUGGAUUCAGCCAGGGCCUCUAGCAGAGGGGAGGUGGCUACGCACAAGAGUGCUUCUUAUAACAGUCAAGACUGUGAACAGAGCCUAUCACAGAUACUUCUGUCCCACUAAAAGGACACUUGAAGGUAAGCCCAAGGUGGCUUCAAGACCUUGAAUAAUUUUAUGUUGCUAAGACAAUAACCAAAGAUAAGGCAAAGCAAGCCAAGCCAGCACUGGACCUCAUUCCUCUGACUUUAACAUGCAUCUGACUCCCAGACUCUCAGAUGCUGUGAGACUAGCUUUUGGUUUUUUUUUAAUUAUGUCACCUGAUAAAAGUAAAACAUGGGGGCUGGGCACAGUGGCUCACACCUAUAAUCCCAGCACUUUGGGAGGCUGAGGCAAGAGGAUCCCUAGGAGCCAGGAAUUCAAAACCAGCCUUACACAGGAAGACCCCAUCUCUCUCUCUCUCUUUUUUUUCUUUUUUCGGUGAGACGGAGUCUUGCUCUGUCGCCCAGGCUGGAGUGCAGUGGUGCGAUCUUGGCUCACUGCAACUU
rnacentral:lncRNA from 1 species